rnacentral:lncRNA from 1 species
UAGUGAGGAAAUAUACUAUAUGCAUACACAGAGAGGAGGGAUAAAAAAACAAUGGGCGCGAAAAUAGAGAAGACUUAUUAGUACAAAAGAAAACAAGUACAAUUCAAAGCCGUUCGCUAAUUAAUACAAAACAGAAAAAAAAACUCUCAAACACAUAAGGAACAGAUCUCGCCACAACAAACAUUGAGGAAGAAGCUCAACAAUCUCGGAGGCAAAAGAAAGUCGCUUAUCAAACUGUUCUAAAACAUUAUUAAAAUAAUCAUAAUGGCUAAUAAUCGUAAUGAUAAUAACAUUGCUCAUAAAGCAGAAAGCAAGAUCGCUUAAAAAGCUAAGCAAAGGAAAUAAAAAAAAAACAAGAGCCGAUUAACCAAAUAAAAAAACGAAAUAUUUUUUUUCAUGUAGCUAUUUUUACUUGUAUGAUUGCAAAUUUUCGAUCACGUAUAUACCGCCACAAAAUUUACUUUCGCUGUUUCAAUUCAUUUUUAUACACAGAUUAUAAUACAUACACAUAGCCAAUAAAGCCUGCGUGUACCACAUAUUUUUAAGCGCAAUAAAAACAAAAUGUAAAUGAGCAAUCCCCAAAAAUGUAUAUUCGUACUUUCAGUACCAAUACAACCAACUCACGAGAACAUCACACACCAAUACACAUAAAACCGAAUCCACAACGCAUCACUCAACUCGAUCGAAAAACGGUAUUUUUUUCAAUCCCCAUUAGUACAGCGAAAACGUACUUCAACGCAGUUUUGUCCGCUACAUGUUCCCUCCAAUGAAGUAAAAUGGAAACAACAGAAAAAAGUGUGGAAAAUUUAGAUAAUCAAAUAAAAAAGGCAUCCGCUCUGCUUGAAUUUGUACUCUCGCUACUUAACAUAGAUUGAGAAAAAACAGUGUCAGAUGAGAACUGCGACAUUUGCACAUAUUUUCUCCGAGUGGGCAACAUUUCAGAUCUAAAGGGAAGGCAAAGAUAAUAAAUUUUGAAAAAAAAAUAUACUGAGCGGCCGCAAAUAAAAUGUCCAAGACGACCAUGAACAUCAACUGCUGAUCAACACGCCAAUAAAAUGAAUGAAUUUCUACUUGACCAAGGAUGUCAUGAAACGAAUUACUACUGGAUCUAUGUUUACGACUUGGAAACAAACGAUCAAUCGGCCGAAUAUCAAGACAAAGGUGAGCCAAAGCCGAUAAACAUAUGUUAAAUAAGGUAAAAAAUAAAGGUUAUGUUUCCUUCCGACCGGCUAAACUAAUGCUAUUUCAGUGUUGUGCGACAACUCUUGGUUUUUGCACCACGAUAAUGCACUGUCGAACACUGCAUUGAUUUUUCGUGAAUUUUUCGCCGAACUUUUAACCAAUAUCUUUUUGCAACCACGUAUUUGCCUUAUUUUGCUCCGCGUGACUUCUGGCUCUUCAGCAAACUUAAAUGACCACUUCAAGGAAACCGCUUUGUGUCAAUUUAAAACAAUAGCAGGAGCUCAUUAUUCAAUAAAAUAUAUACCUGAAAAUAUUGUAGCCAUAAGAACAAUUAUACUCGUAUAUAGAAAAUUAUAGUUUUGAGACAUGUACAUUAAAUAAAAAGCAUACAAUUUAUUAAAUAGAAUUGUUAAAGUAGAUUAUGCUCAAAAAAUGUGAAAAUCAUUGCUUAUCAAAAAAAGGCAAAAAUAUAUAGAAUAGUAUACUAAAAUUAGACCUAUAUUGUAAAACAAUAUACAAAACAUGCCUACAAAAAAAUUUGAAUAAGCAAUUGUAAAAUAGCCUUUUAUUGGUGUAUGAGGUGUGCAAUACGCAAAUAAACACAUACAAAAUGACCAGGAUGGAGAGACGAGUUGAAAUCCGGUUGAUCGACUGCGUAUUCGUCCGACGGCCCGUGCAAGCUCUAAAUGGACUAAAAAUUUAGAUAAAUGAUGAAACUUGGUAUACCCAUUCCUUUGCACAAAAAAAAAAAAACAAUAAAAAAAUAAAUAAAUAAAUAAAAUACGGGAAGGGCGUAACCAGAGAUAUGCGGAUGCAAUCGAAGUACGAAAGGAUUUCGGAAUGUUCUUCUCUCAGACCCAUAAUGUCUGCUUGCAAUGUGUCGUAUGUGCAGAAUGGCAUUAACUGCCAUCGUUAGUUUUGUACGUAGUGGAGGACUAAUGCCAAUGAGAGCCGCUCGUUGAACACGUUCCAACAGUUUAGCAAGUGUGACUUUACCGAGCGCCCAUCACCACACAAAUACUACAUAGUAUUGGCUUAACUAUGGUUUCAUAAAGACAAACCACAACUGUUGAUGUGAGACACCACCGCUUCCCAACAGCUCCUUUUCUUCAACAUAGGGUAAUCAAUGCCUUCUUUCUUAGUGCACGCGCAAUACUACAUUCCACCGCUACAAUUUUUAAUUGGAGUAUUAAUGUCGAGAAAUGUCUUAUGGCUCCCUCCAGCCAUAAGAUAACAACGUGCAGAGUAGUGUCUACCGACCUACCUUUAAAGUAUGCAUAUCGAGCGUACAGGUAUGAUGAUCCUGACGUACAGGGCCAUAAGCCUCUAUUCAAAAGAAACGAGAAGAGGAUAAUAGGCCUGAAAUCCUUGACAUUAAUACGCCUCUAAGCGCCCUGAAAAUGUAGCAUAAUCUAACAGAGUUUGCGUAGAUGGGGGUCAACCAGCUCUAUGAAGUUGCGUAGGUAUGAUGCCAACAGUCCCGGUGAUUGAAGUGAAUUUAAGGCCCAUUUGAAAUGGCAUUCGUCUAGAAGAUCUAAGAAGACUGUACCACGAUUCUGAAGCCCUCAAGGGUACACUUUCUGUGUGUAUUAAUGCAUUGGAAAGUGAACGCCUAGGAAUAUUUUUAACGACUUCUCAACGCUCAAAGUUCAGUCACCAUCCUUAUUUCUAAGAUAAUCUUUGGAAGUAUUAGUAAGUAUUUGGAAGUAUUUGUCACAGAUCACGGAAAGAUCUCCUUGAAACUCUAUCGGACUUCUUUAUUUCUAUUUGUAUAUAGCAUGCCGUGCAUUAUACAGCGCCCAUUCGCUAAUAGGAAUUAAUUUUCUUAUAACAUUUAUGUGUUUUCUUCAUAUUUUCCUAACGGUGAGUGCGUGGAAAAUCAAAUUUCAAAUAUGGAAAAGUUCAAAACGUACAAGUACUGUGACAUAAAAAGCGAAAUAAAAAAAAAACGUCUUUCUUGGUUUUAUUAAAUUGUCUUUGGCUAAAUGAGCCUCAGUCAACUGCCCCUUACAACUUGUCACCCGCAAACGCCAUAUUAACAGCGAACACACAUCAUUCACAACCUUUACAUAUAAAUAACUAACAUUCUACAUUUACCACAUUAAAAUAUACAUUCACCACACUCACCUCGACAUCACCUACAACCCACAUCCUACACCAACUAUGAUACCACUGCAUUAUACACCACAACAAAAAAGAAAUAAAAGGAGCGGAAAAAGAAGAUCGUCGUUCUUUUUCGCGAUACGCGGUCGAAGGAAGCUGUGUUCUGCUCAUCCCGUGUAUUAUCUUUGGUACAUAUUUUUACGAACAUUUUUUUUUUAAACAGGACAAAUUUUUUAUAACAAUUCUUGAGGAAUUUCAUGUUUUUUCG